AGUGAGGUGGCCGAGCGGCUGAAGGCACUCCCCUGCUAAGGGAGUAUAUGGUGCUUAACACUGUGUCGAGGGUUCAAAUCCCUCCCUCACUG
rnacentral:tRNA from 1 species